GUUGUAUGGUUAAGUGACUAAGCGUACACGGUGGAUGCCUGGGCAGUCAGAGGCGAUGAAGGACGUACUAACUUGCGAUAAGCGCAGAUAAGGCAGUAAGAGCCGUUUGAGUCUGCGAUUUCCGAAUGGGGAAACCCAACUGCAUAAGCAGUUACUGUUAACUGAAUCCAUAGGUUAACAGAGCAAACCGGGGGAACUGAAACAUCUAAGUACCCCGAGGAGAAGAAAUCAACCGAGAUUCCGGUAGUAGCGGCGAGCGAACCUGGAUUAGCCCUUAAGCACUCGUUGAAGUAGGUGAACAAGCUGGAAAGCUUGGCGAUACAGGGUGAUAGCCCCGUAACCGACGCUUCAUCGAGCGUGAAAUCGAGUAGGGCGGGACACGUGAUAUCCUGUCUGAAUAUGGGGGGACCAUCCUCCAAGGCUAAAUACUCCUGACUGACCGAUAGUGAACCAGUACCGUGAGGGAAAGGCGAAAAGAACCCCUGUGAGGGGAGUGAAAUAGAACCUGAAACCGUGUACGUACAAGCAGUAGGAGCACCUUCGUGGUGUGACUGCGUACCUUUUGUAUAAUGGGUCAGCGACUUAUAUUCAGUGGCAAGGUUAACCGUAUAGGGGAGCCGUAGCGAAAGCGAGUCUUAACUGGGCGUUCAGUCUCUGGAUAUAGACCCGAAACCGGGUGAUCUAGCCAUGGGCAGGUUGAAGGUUGAGUAACAUCAACUGGAGGACCGAACCGACUAAUGUUGAAAAAUUAGCGGAUGACUUGUGGCUAGGGGUGAAAGGCCAAUCAAACUCGGAGAUAGCUGGUUCUCCCCGAAAGCUAUUUAGGUAGCGCCUCGGACGAAUACUACUGGGGGUAGAGCACUGUUAAGGCUAGGGGGUCAUCCCGACUUACCAACCCUUUGCAAACUCCGAAUACCAGUAAGUACUAUCCGGGAGACACACGGCGGGUGCUAACGUCCGUCGUGGAGAGGGAAACAACCCAGACCGCCAGCUAAGGUCCCAAAGUAUUGCUAAGUGGGAAACGAUGUGGGAAGGCUCAGACAGCUAGGAUGUUGGCUUAGAAGCAGCCAUCAUUUAAAGAAAGCGUAAUAGCUCACUAGUCGAGUCGGCCUGCGCGGAAGAUGUAACGGGGCUAAGCAAUACACCGAAGCUGCGGCAAUAUCUUUUAGAUAUUGGGUAGGGGAGCGUUCUGUAAGCCGUUGAAGGUGGAUCGUAAGGUCUGCUGGAGGUAUCAGAAGUGCGAAUGCUGACAUGAGUAACGACAAGGGGGGUGAAAAACCUCCCCGCCGGAAGACCAAGGGUUCCUGUCCAACGUUAAUCGGGGCAGGGUGAGUCGACCCCUAAGGCGAGGCUGAAAAGCGUAGUCGAUGGGAAACGGGUUAAUAUUCCCGUACUUCUUACAAUUGCGAUGGGGGACGGAGAAGGCUAGGUGGGCCAGGCGACGGUUGUCCUGGUUCAAGUGCGUAGGCUUAAGAGUUAGGUAAAUCCGGCUCUUUCUAAGGCUGAGACACGACGUCGAGCUACUACGGUAGUGAAGUCAUUGAUGCCAUGCUUCCAGGAAAAGCCUCUAAGCUUCAGAUUGUAAGGAAUCGUACCCCAAACCGACACAGGUGGUCGGGUAGAGAAUACCAAGGCGCUUGAGAGAACUCGGGUGAAGGAACUAGGCAAAAUGGUACCGUAACUUCGGGAGAAGGUACGCUCUUGAUGGUGAAGUCCCUCGCGGAUGGAGCUGACGAGAGUCGCAGAUACCAGGUGGCUGCAACUGUUUAUUAAAAACACAGCACUGUGCAAAAUCGCAAGAUGACGUAUACGGUGUGACGCCUGCCCGGUGCCGGAAGGUUAAUUGAUGGGGUUAGCGCAAGCGAAGCUCUUGAUCGAAGCCCCGGUAAACGGCGGCCGUAACUAUAACGGUCCUAAGGUAGCGAAAUUCCUUGUCGGGUAAGUUCCGACCUGCACGAAUGGCGUAAUGAUGGCCACGCUGUCUCCACCCGAGACUCAGUGAAAUUGAAAUCGCUGUGAAGAUGCAGUGUACCCGCGGCUAGACGGAAAGACCCCGUGAACCUUUACUACAGCUUGGCACUGAACAUUGAACCUACAUGUGUAGGAUAGGUGGGAGGCUAUGAAGACGUGACGCUAGUUGCGUUGGAGCCGUCCUUGAAAUACCACCCUUGUAUGUUUGAUGUUCUAACUUAGACCCGUUAUCCGGGUUGAGGACAGUGCCUGGUGGGUAGUUUGACUGGGGCGGUCUCCUCCCAAAGAGUAACGGAGGAGCACGAAGGUGGGCUAAUCACGGUUGGACAUCGUGAGGUUAGUGCAAUGGCAUAAGCCCGCUUAACUGCGAGAAUGACGGUUCGAGCAGGUGCGAAAGCAGGUCAUAGUGAUCCGGUGGUUCUGUAUGGAAGGGCCAUCGCUCAACGGAUAAAAGGUACUCCGGGGAUAACAGGCUGAUACCGCCCAAGAGUUCAUAUCGACGGCGGUGUUUGGCACCUCGAUGUCGGCUCAUCACAUCCUGGGGCUGAAGUCGGUCCCAAGGGUAUGGCUGUUCGCCAUUUAAAGUGGUACGCGAGCUGGGUUUAGAACGUCGUGAGACAGUUCGGUCCCUAUCUGCCGUGGGCGUUGGAAGAUUGAAGGGGGCUGCUCCUAGUACGAGAGGACCGGAGUGGACGAACCUCUGGUGUUCGGGUUGUGUCGCCAGACGCAUUGCCCGGUAGCUAAGUUCGGAAUCGAUAACCGCUGAAAGCAUCUAAGCGGGAAGCGAGCCCUGAGAUGAGUCUUCCCUGACAGUUUAACUGUCCUAAAGGGUUGUUCGAGACUAGAACGUUGAUAGGCAGGGUGUGUAAGCGUUGUGAGGCGUUGAGCUAACCUGUACUAAUUGCCCGUGAGGCUUAACCAUACAACACCCAAGGGGUUUUGUA
rnacentral:rRNA from 1 species